rnacentral:misc_RNA from 1 species
GAUGAAGAACGCAGCGAAAUGCGAUAAGUAAUGUGAAUUGCAGAAUUCAGUGAAUCAUCGAAUCUUUGAACGCACAUUGCGCCCCCUGGUAUUCCGGGGGGCAUGCCUGUUCGAGCGUCAUUUCACCACUCAAGCCUCGCUUGGUAUUGGGCAUCGCGGUCCGUCGCGUGCCUCAAAUCGACCGGCUGGGUCUUCUGUCCCCUAAGCGUUGUGGAAACUAUUCGCUAAAGGGUGUUCGGGAGGCUACGCCGUAAAACAACCCCAUUUCUAAGGUUGACCUCGGAUCAGGUAGGGAUACCCGCUGAACUUAAGCAUAUCAAUAAGCGGAGGA